CAAUAGCGUAUAUUAAAGUUGUUGCAGUUAGAAAGCUCGUAGUUGGAUUUCUGGCAGGAGGUGCUCGGCGCGCGUGGCCUUUGUCGCGUGUUUUGCUGGGGUGUCUUCGCCAUCCACCUGGAGAGCAGUGCUUCCCUUCACUGGGCGGUGCUGUAGUUGUGUGGUCCCUCACGGGGCUGCUCCUCUUUCCAGGUCGUUUACUUUGAAAAAAUUAGAGUGUUCAAAGCAGGCAUUGAUAGCUUCUGAAUACAUUAGCAUGGAAUAAUAAGAUAGGACUUUGGUUCUAUUUUGUUGGUACUGAGAGCCGAAGUAAUGAUUGAUAGGGAUAGUUGGGGGUGCUUGUAUUCAACGGCCAGAGGUGAAAUUCUUGGAUUCGUUGAAGACAAACUAAUGCGAAAGCAUUCACCAAGGAUGUCUUCUUUAA
rnacentral:rRNA from 1 species